rnacentral:rRNA from 1 species
GAUGAAUGCUGGCGGCGUGCCUAACACAUGCAAGUCGAGCGGCAGCGAGGGGUGCAUGCACCCUGUCGGCGAGCGGCGAACGGCUGAGUAACGCGUAGGAAUUUGCCCCAAAGUGAGGAAUAACUGCCCGAAAGGGUAGCUAAUGCCGCAUAUGGUCUUCGGAUUAAAGGAUUUAUCCGCUUUGGGAGAAGCCUGCGUUGGAUUAGGUUGUUGGUAGGGUAAUGGCCUACCAAGCCGACGAUCCAUAGCUGGUCUGAGAGGAUGAUCAGCCAGACUGGAACUGAGACACGGUCCAGACUCCUACGGGAGGCAGCAGUGAGGAAUCUUCCACAAUGGGCGAAAGCCUGAUGGAGCAACGCCGCGUGAAGGAUGAAGGCCUUCGGGUUGUAAACUUCUUUUAUGAGUGAAGAAUAUGACGGUAACUCAUGAAUAAGCACCGGCUAACUACGUG